AACGAACGCUGGCGGCGUGCCUAAUACAUGCAAGUCGAGCGCAGGAAACUGACGGAACUCUUCGGAGGGAAGGCAGUGGAAUGAGCGGCGGACGGGUGAGUAACACGUAAGGAACCUGCCUCAAGGAUUGGGAUAACUCCGAGAAAUCGGAGCUAAUACCGGAUAGUUCAACGGACCGCAUGGUCCGCUGAUGAAAGGCGCUUCGGCGUCACCUUGAGAUGGCCUUGCGGUGCAUUAGCUAGUUGGUGGGGUAACGGCCCACCAAGGCGACGAUGCAUAGCCGACCUGAGAGGGUGAUCGGCCACACUGGGACUGAGACACGGCCCAGACUCCUACGGGAGGCAGCAGUAGGGAAUCUUCCACAAUGGACGAAAGUCUGAUGGAGCAACGCCGCGUGAGUGAUGAAGGUUUUCGGAUCGUAAAACUCUGUUGUAAGGGAAGAACACGUACGAGAGGUAAUGCUCGUACCUUGACGGUACCUUACGAGAAAGCCACGGCUAACUACGUGCCAGCAGCCGCCGUAACAC
rnacentral:rRNA from 1 species